UACGUAGGGGGCGAGCGUUGUCCGGAAUCAUUGGGCGUAAAGCGCGUGUAGGCGGCCCGGUAAGUCCGCCGUGAAAGUCCAGGGCUCAACCCUGGAAUGCCGGUGGAAACUGCCGGGCUGGAGUCCGGAAGAGGCGAGUGGAAUUCCUGGUGUAGCGGUGAAAUGCGCAGAUAUCAGGAAGAACACCCGUGGCGAAGGCGGCUCUCUGGGACGGUACUGACGCUGAGACGCGAAAGCGUGGGGAGCGAACAGG
rnacentral:rRNA from 1 species